AACGCACAUUGCGCCCCUUGGUAUUCCAUGGGGCAUGCCUGUUCGAGCGUCAUUUGUACCCUCAAGCUUUGCUUGGUGUUGGGUGUUUGUCCUGUGCUUUUUGUGCAAGACUCGCCUUAAAUCAAUUGGCAGCCGGCAUGUUAGCCUGGAGCGCAGCACAUUUUGCGUCCCUUGCUUACUUUUGUUGGCCCCCAUCAAGUCCAUAUAUUUGCUCUUGACCUCGGAUCAGGUAGGGAUACCCGCUGAACUUAA
rnacentral:misc_RNA from 2 species